GUCAAGCACGCCGACACAAGUACAUGCAGUGAGUUCGUAGGCGUGGAUGGCAACCCUCCUGCCUCAGCCUCCCAGAGUGCCAGGAUUCCAGCCUGCUGUUGGUGAAAAACAGUCCAACAGUGAGGCUCAAGCCGACGACGUCCCAAGUAACUACCUUCUGUCACAGUAUCGAAUCCCCUCUCAGGGGAGUGCCAGCCCGGACUCACCCUCGCUCUGCAGCUCCCGCGUUGUACGGCGCCCACUGGACUCUGCACCAUGCGUCUCACCGCACCUCCACCGCCUCUCACUGCCCCUGCCCGGGUGGCCACCAGUUCCACCCUCCUCCCUGUAUUCUUUUCUCUCCCUCCUUUUCCAGACGGCACACGUCAGCGAGAGCAGUGGUGUUUGCCUUUCCCUGGGCGGUUGUCCUUUCUCUGAGGGAUCCAAGAGAUGCAAUAAUUCCACAAUCAAACUAUUCACCUUAAAUUUGAAAGUCUGGAAAUAGAGCUCAUUGCCCAGAGGAGGAAAAAACGGAUGUGGGGCCUGAUGGAGAACCUCUAAUCUAUCUUUCUCUGCUAAAUAGCAAACACGUUAGAAAGGAUACAGAGCUUCACUAGACAAGACGGGAGGAAUUCACCAAUGGUUGUCAUAUUGCAUAUUGUUAUCUUCAAGUUAGUUGUUCAGAUGACCAGCUAUAAGCAUGCAACAUCGCUUUGUAUCAUUUCUAAUGUUUUUUUUUUUUUAAAUUUUUUUUCUCUUUAAUUGUUUGAUCAAUCUUGCAUUCUUACAUCUGGUAAUCUGAGCAACUUGGUUGAGGAUAACAAUAUGUAAUAUAACAACCAAUGUUAAUUCCUGUCAUUCCAUUUUGGAACCCUGUAUCAUUUUUAUUGUUUUUGUCCAUGUUGUUGUUAUUUUGUUCUUUUUAAAAUUCUCUUUAAAGUAAAUAACAAACAACUUCCAGAACACUGUGUUUGUGCUACCGCCUACUAACUUGUAAUUACAUGUUUCCACUUCUUUCUCUUAAAGAAGAAAUUAUCUUACCUGUGUCCGCCAGGAAAUGCCCCGCAGAAUCUCUGCUUCCGAGGUCAGCAAUGCAAGGAGAGGGGCUCCCUGCCAGCAGCUGCUGAGCCACAUGCAGGUGGUGUCCUUGGCUCUUCACCCAGGGGACAUCAGGACGGGAAGCCUGUUCUUCUGAGGGUCAUGUGCCAGCCCCAGGCGUGGUCAUGGCUCUGAUUCUGGAAGGUUCUCUCUUGACCCAGGUGGAACUGGUUUGUAGGGGACUCUCCAAGUGCACUUUACAGGGAAGGUGUCCCGCUGCCCACAUGGCCGCCUCGGGAGAUCAGUUUGACCUUGGACCUGUGUGUGACACCACUGUCAGCGUGACCUCACGACGGCUGUUGGUUACCCAUGUGUC
ensembl:lincRNA